GUGGGUGUAGCUCAAUGGUAGAGCGCCAGCUUGCUUGCCCGUCCGAAGCUUAAUGCGAAGGAGGGUGGAGCUGAAAAUGGGGGUUCAACUCCCCUCACCUACC
rnacentral:tRNA from 1 species